rnacentral:lncRNA from 1 species
CAUGAAGUUGUUGCGAGCCGUUUAUUCCCGCUUCAGGUGCUUCGCUGUUGCGCGCGCUGAUUUUCUGAGAGAUUUACAUCAGACGGAGCCCGGUGUUGUUCCGGUUUGUUCCCGCUUCAGCGGCCUUCAGUCAGCGCGCGGUCACAGGGUCCAGAUUUAUAUCAGAAGAAAAGUCUCCAAGCACUGCAGCGGACUUCUGAUAUACCAGAGACAGUCUUGGAGGAGAAAUGGUCAGAUAGCAAAAGUUGCCAUUCUUUUGGAAAACUGCUGGUCUUUAAAGAACAGUCAUCAAUCAGGAUCCUCUGUUCCCAGACCCAACCAUUCAUCUGAAGGACUGUGAAAAUAUGAACCCUUUGAACCACCGGUGACAGUUUCCACAUGAUGAAUAGAAAGGACAUGGCAGAGGAUGAUGGGGUAUUGAUUUUUCACUGAAAUUAAAUAUCAUUUAAAAACAUUUAGUCUGCUAGUCAGAAUUAUAGCUGAUUAAAUAAAAAUAAAUAGUGGUUCAUGUUUGUUUUGGGAUAUUGGUUCAUGAGUCCUUAGUCCUGAACAGUUUAAAUGGCCGCUUUACUUCAGAAAAAUCCUCCAGAUCCUUCACUUUCUCAGGUUUUCCAGCAUCUUUUGCAUAUUUGAACCCUUUCCAGCAAUAUGAUUUCAGAUCCAUUUUUUACACUGAGGACAAUUGAGGGACUCAUACACAACUAUUUCAAAAGGUAAACGCAUUUAUUGAUUCUCAAGAAAGCAACACAGUUUAUGAAGAGAGACAGGGUGUGACCUACUUGAACUGGAUUAUCAGGGAAAACUAUCCCUAAACAAAAACAGCUGUGUGUCUUCCAGUUUAUGUAAACUUUUGAACAUUUUUAUAAAUUAUACAUUUUAAUUUUUAUAAAUUCAAUAAAUGUGAAUAUCUAUUAUGUAAAAUUGCAUAUUUAUGGCGGUACUAAUUAAAAAUAGCAUACAUUAUGAUCUCUCUUAUUUUGUUAAAAUGAUCGCAUAUUCUGCUAGGGCACAGAGGGGCAAACUCAGUCCUGGAGGGCUACUGUCCUGCAGAGUUUCGCUCCAACCCUAAUUAAACAGACCUGAAGCUAAUCAAGGUCUUCAGCAUUAUUAGAAGGCUACAGGCAGGUGAGUUGGAUCAGGGUUGGAGCAGAACUCUGCAGGACUGUGGCCCUCCAGGACUGAGUUUGCUUAUCUCUGUGCUGGGGGUAUGUAAACUUAAGAGCAUAACCGUAUCUUCUGUAGCUUAUGAAAGGCAGAAUUAAAUGAAAACGUGGCAAGGUCCUGAUGGUGCCAUUAGAGUUGUAGAGUGUGUGUGUGUUUGUGUGUUUGAAUGUCUGAUUGAGAGAGCAGUAAUCACUGUUCUGGCUCGAGUGUCCAUUGCAAGUGUAUUCAUUAUUGUGUUUUUCUUUAGGUUAGCAUACAUUUUUUAUUGUUUCUUUUCUAAAUUAUAAUUUUUUUUUAAUCAGUUUAAUGAUUUACUUGAAGUGUCUGUGUUUGCAAAAUAUUUAAAAUAUUUUUCUCAAUUUAAAUGUUGCAGUCCUGCUGAGUUUGUUUAAUAAUAUUUGCAGUCCUGUUAAACGUUUGCUGUCUUGCAUUUGCUGAAAAAAUAAAAAUUGAGUUUUGUUGAUGCCUUGAUGUGUUUGUGGCUUUGUUGACAGUUUUUAUAAGCGCAUAUGACGCAUUUUUGUAUAGAAGGCCCGUAGCAUUUAAAACCUAUUAAGUGUACAGUAAUUUAUAGACGUUUACUGAGACAUGAGUGUCCGUUUACGGAGAUGUAACUUCUUGUACCCUGGAUUUUGGGGAGACUGGGAUAUACGUGGAUUUACCGGUGAGUGAGUAAACAUUUCCGUCCGUGUCUGGGAGUUUAUCGCGUAAAAAAAAACAAGAAGAAGAAACAGAAGUGUAUGAGAGAGAUGACCAUUUGAUGUGACAUACAGUUGAUUGUUAAGGACUUAGUUCUCACCCUGCUGUGUUUGUGUAACUGUUUUAGGUUUGGUCUGCUGCUGAAAUAAUUAAACCCAGACACGCAUACUAUUGUUUUUUUUUUUGUUUUUUAUGAAACACAUUCAUAGUUUGUCCGGUCUGCUCAGACUUUGAGACAUCUCCAAGUUUUCCUUUGAUCCCCGGCAGAGGUUCAAAUGAAUAUCUUUUGGAGUAUGUAUUUGAGCAUCAAAGGUCCGUGACUAGAGUAGGCCUACUCAGCAGAUGCUGCAUGUGUGCUUAGAGCUGUGGAGAGAGACAAAAUGAAAUCCCCAAACAGAUGAUCUGGCGAUAACAUAAAUCUACCAUCUCAUCUCAUUAGAUUACGUUACUUUCCAAGACCACAAGAACAGACUGCUUGUGUAUGAGUCUGCAUUAAACAGAAAGAAAAACAGGAAGGAGAC